UACGGGGGGGGCAAGCGUUGUUCGGAAUUACUGGGCGUAAAGGGCUCGUAGGCGGCCAACUAAGUCAGACGUGAAAUCCCUCGGCUUAACCGGGGAACUGCGUCUGAUACUGGAUGGCUUGAAUCCGGGAGAGGGAUGCGGAAUUCCAGGUGUAGCGGUGAAAUGCGUAGAUAUCUGGAGGAACACCAGUAGCGAAGGCGGCACUCUGGGCCGGUACUGACGCUGAGGAGCGAAAGCGUGGGGAGCAAACAGG
rnacentral:rRNA from 1 species